GGCCGGCUGGCCUAAUGGUUAAGGCGUCAGUUUCCGGAACGGAUUAGCUGAAGAUUCUGGGUUCGACUCCCAGGUUGGUCG